rnacentral:rRNA from 1 species
UACCGGAGAAUGUUAUCACGGGAGACACACGGCGGGUGCUAACGUCCGUCGUGAAGAGGGAAACAACCCAGACCGCCAGCUAAGGUCCCAAAGUCAUGGUUAAGUGGGAAACGAUGUGGGAAGGCCCAGACAGCCAGGAUGUUGGCUUAGAAGCAGCCAUCAUUUAAAGAAAGCGUAAUAGCUCACUGGUCGAGUCGGCCUGCGCGGAAGAUGUAACGGGGCUAAACCAUGCACCGAAGCUGCGGCAGCGACGCUGAUGCGUUGUUGGGUAGGGGAGCGUUCUGUAAGCCUGCGAAGGUGUGCUGUGAGGCAUGCUGGAGGUAUCAGAAGUGCGAAUGCUGACAUAAGUAACGAUAAAGCGGGUGAAAAGCCCGCUCGCCGGAAGACCAAGGGUUCCUGUCCAACGUUAAUCGGGGCAGGGUGAGUCGACCCCUAAGGCGAGGCCGAAAGGCGUAGUCGAUGGGAAACAGGUUAAUAUUCCUGUACUUGGUGUUACUGUGAAGGGGGGACGGAGAAGGCUAUGUUGGCCGGGCGACGGUUGUCCCGGUUUAAGCGUGUAGGCUGGUUUUCCAGGCAAAUCCGGAAAACUAAGGCUGAGGCGUGAUGACGAGGCACUACGGUGCUGAAGCAACAAAUGCCCUGCUUCCAGGAAAAGCCUCUAAGCAUCAGGUAACAUCAAAUCGUACCCCAAACCGACACAGGUGGUCAGGUAGAGAAUACCAAGGCGCUUGAGAGAACUCGGGUGAAGGAACUAGGCAAAAUGGUGCCGUAACUUCGGGAGAAGGCACGCUGAUAUGUAGGUGAAGUCCCUCGCGGAUGGAGCUGAAAUCAGUCGAAGAUACCAGCUGGCUGCAACUGUUUAUUAAAAACACAGCACUGUGCAAACACUAAAGUGGACGUAUACGGUGUGACGCCUGCCCGGUGCCGGAAGGUUAAUUGAUGGGGUCAGCGCAAGCGAAGCUCUUGAUCGAAGCCCCGGUAAACGGCGGCCGUAACUAUAACGGUCCUAAGGUAGCGAAAUUCCUUGUCGGGUAAGUUCCGACCUGCACGAAUGGCGUAAUGAUGGCCAGGCUGUCUCCACCCGAGACUCAGUGAAAUUGAACUCGCUGUGAAGAUGCAGUGUACCCGCGGCAAGACGGAAAGACCCCGUGAACCUUUACUAUAGCUUGACACUGAACAUUGAGCCUUGAUGUGUAGGAUAGGUGGGAGGCUUUGAAGUGUGGACGCCAGUCUGCAUGGAGCCGACCUUGAAAUACCACCCUUUAAUGUUUGAUGUUCUAACGUUGACCCGUAAUCCGGGUUGCGGACAGUGUCUGGUGGGUAGUUUGACUGGGGCGGUCUCCUCCUAAAGAGUAACGGAGGAGCACGAAGGUUGCGUGGCAUUCCCGGCGCUUUCAGC